rnacentral:rRNA from 1 species
UACGUAGGGUGCGAGCGUUGUCCGGAAUUAUUGGGCGUAAAGAGCUCGUAGGCGGUGUGUCACGUCGGCCGUGAAAACCUGCAGCUUAACUGUGGGCGUGCGGUCGAUACGGGCAUCACUGGAGUUCGGCAGGGGAGACUGGAAUUCCUGGUGUAGCGGUGAAAUGCGCAGAUAUCGGAAGGAACACCAGUGGCGAAAGCGGCUUCCUGGACCAGCACCGACGUUCAGGCACGAAAGCGUGGGGAGCAAACAGG